rnacentral:rRNA from 1 species
GAGCAAUCUGUGUGACUGCGUACCUUUUGUAUAAUGGGUCAGCGACUUAUAUUCUGUAGCAAGGUUAACCGAAUAGGGGAGCCGAAGGGAAACCGAGUCUUAACUGGGCGUUAAGUUGCAGGGUAUAGACCCGAAACCCGGUGAUCUAGCCAUGGGCAGGUUGAAGGUUGGGUAACACUAACUGGAGGACCGAACCGACUAAUGUUGAAAAAUUAGCGGAUGACUUGUGGCUGGGGGUGAAAGGCCAAUCAAACCGGGAGAUAGCUGGUUCUCCCCGAAAGCUAUUUAGGUAGCGCCUCGUGAAUUCAUCUCCGGGGGUAGAGCACUGUUUCGGCAAGGGGGUCAUCCCGACUUACCAACCCGAUGCAAACUGCGAAUACCGGAGAAUGUUAUCACGGGAGACACACGGCGGGUGCUAACGUCCGUCGUGAAGAGGGAAACAACCCAGACCGCCAGCUAAGGUCCCAAAGUCAUGGUUAAGUGGGAAACGAUGUGGGAAGGCCCAGACAGCCAGGAUGUUGGCUUAGAAGCAGCCAUCAUUUAAAGAAAGCGUAAUAGCUCACUGGUCGAGUCGGCCUGCGCGGAAGAUGUAACGGGGCUAAACCAUGCACCGAAGCUGCGGCAGCGACACUGUGUGUUGUUGGGUAGGGGAGCGUUCUGUAAGCCUGUGAAGGUGUGCUGUGAGGCAUGCUGGAGGUAUCAGAAGUGCGAAUGCUGACAUAAGUAACGAUAAAGCGGGUGAAAAGCCCGCUCGCCGGAAGACCAAGGGUUCCUGUCCAACGUUAAUCGGGGCAGGGUGAGUCGACCCCUAAGGCGAGGCCGAAAGGCGUAGUCGAUGGGAAACAGGUUAAUAUUCCUGUACUUGGUGUUACUGCGAAGGGGGGACGGAGAAGGCUAUGUUGGCCGGGCGACGGUUGUCCCGGUUUAAGCGUGUAGGCUGGUUUUCCAGGCAAAUCCGGAAAAUCAAGGCUGAGGCGUGAUGACGAGGCACUACGGUGCUGAAGCAACAAAUGCCCUGCUUCCAGGAAAAGCCUCUAAGCAUCAGGUAACAUCAAAUCGUACCCCAAACCGACACAGGUGGUCAGGUAGAGAAUACCAAGGCGCUUGAGAGAACUCGGGUGAAGGAACUAGGCAAAAUGGUGCCGUAACUUCGGGAGAAGGCACGCUGAUAUGUAGGUGAAGUCCCUCGCGGAUGGAGCUGAAAUCAGUCGAAGAUACCAGCUGGCUGCAACUGUUUAUUAAAAACACAGCACUGUGCAAACACGAAAGUGGACGUAUACGGUGUGACGCCUGCCCGGUGCCGGAAGGUUAAUUGAUGGGGUCAGCGCAAGCGAAGCUCUUGAUCGAAGCCCCGGUAAACGGCGGCCGUAACUAUAACGGUCCUAAGGUAGCGAAAUUCCUUGUCGGGUAAGUUCCGACCUGCACGAAUGGCGUAAUGAUGGCCAGGCUGUCUCCACCCGAGACUCAGUGAAAUUGAACUCGCUGUGAAGAUGCAGUGUACCCGCGGCAAGACGGAAAGACCCCGUGAACCUUUACUAUAGCUUGACACUGAACAUUGAGCCUUGAUGUGUAGGAUAGGUGGGAGGCUUUGAAGUGUGGACGCCAGUCUGCAUGGAGCCGACCUUGAAAUACCACCCUUUAAUGUUUGAUGUUCUAACGUGGACCCGUGAUCCGGGUUGCGGACAGUGUCUGGUGGGUAGUUUGACUGGGGCGGUCUCCUCCUAAAGAGUAACGGAGGAGCACGAAGGUUGGCUAAUCCUGGUCGGACAUCAGGAGGUUAGUGCAAUGGCAUAAGCCAGCUUGACUGCGAGCGUGACGGCGCGAGCAGGUGCGAAAGCAGGUCAUAGUGAUCCGGUGGUUCUGAAUGGAAGGGCCAUCGCUCAACGGAUAAAAGGUACUCCGGGGAUAACAGGCUGAUACCGCCCAAGAGUUCAUAUCGACGGCGGUGUUUGGCACCUCGAUGUCGGCUCAUCACAUCCUGGGGCUGAAGUAGGUCCCAAGGGUAUGGCUGUUCGCCAUUUAAAGUGGUACGCGAGCUGGGUUUAGAACGUCGUGAGACAGUUCGGUCCCUAUCUGCCGUGGGCGCUGGAGAACUGAGGGGGGCUGCUCCUAGUACGAGAGGACCGGAGUGGACGCAUCACUGGUGUUCGGGUUGUCAUGCCAAUGGCACUGCCCGGUAGCUAAAUGCGGAAGAGAUAAGUGCUGAAAGCAUCUAAGCACGAAACUUGCCCCGAGAUGAGUUCUCCCUGACCCUUUAAGGGUCCUGAAGGAACGUUGAAGACGACGACGUUGAUAGGCCGGGUGUGUAAGCGCAGCGAUGCGUUGAGCUAACCGGUACUAAUGAACCGUGAGGCUUAACCUUACAACGCCGAAGGUGUUU